AUUGAACGCUGGCGGCAGGCCUAACACAUGCAAGUCGAGCGGAUGAAGGGAGCUUGCUCCUGGAUUCAGCGGCGGACGGGUGAGUAAUGCCUAGGAAUCUGCCUGGUAGUGGGGGAUAACGUCCGGAAACGGGCGCUAAUACCGCAUACGUCCUGAGGGAGAAAGUGGGGGAUCUUCGGACCUCACGCUAUCAGAUGAGCCUAGGUCGGAUUAGCUAGUUGGUGGGGUAAAGGCCUACCAAGGCGACGAUCCGUAACUGGUCUGAGAGGAUGAUCAGUCACACUGGAACUGAGACACAGUCGAGACUCCUACGGGAGGCAACAGUGGGGAAUAUUGGACAAUGGGCGAAAGCCUGAUACAGCCAUGCCGCGUGUAUGAAGAAGGUCUUCGGAUUGUAGAGCACUUUAAGUUGGGAGGAAGGGCAGUAAGUUAAUACCUUGCUGUAUUGACGUUACCAGCAGAAUAAGCACCGGCUAACUUCGUG
rnacentral:rRNA from 1 species